GGGUUGUGAGGUUAAGCGACUAAGCGUACACGGUGGAUGCCCUGGCAGUCAGAGGCGAUGAAGGACGUGCUAAUCUGCGAUAAGCGUCGGUAAGGUGAUAUGAACCGUUAUAACCGGCGAUUUCCGAAUGGGGAAACCCAGUGUGUUUCGACACACUAUCAUUAACUGAAUCCAUAGGUUAAUGAGGCGAACCGGGGGAACUGAAACAUCUAAGUACCCCGAGGAAAAGAAAUCAACCGAGAUUCCCCCAGUAGCGGCGAGCGAACGGGGAGCAGCCCAGAGCCUGAAUCAGUGUGUGUGUUAGUGGAAGCGUCUGGAAAGGCGCGCGAUACAGGGUGACAGCCCCGUACACAAAAAUGCACAUACUGUGAGCUCGAUGAGUAGGGCGGGACACGUGGUAUCCUGUCUGAAUAUGGGGGGACCAUCCUCCAAGGCUAAAUACUCCUGACUGACCGAUAGUGAACCAGUACCGUGAGGGAAAGGCGAAAAGAACCCCGGCGAGGGGAGUGAAAAAGAACCUGAAACCGUGUACGUACAAGCAGUGGGAGCCUCUUAAUGGGGUGACUGCGUACCUUUUGUAUAAUGGGUCAGCGACUUAUAUUCUGUAGCAAGGUUAACCGAAUAGGGGAGCCGAAGGGAAACCGAGUCUUAACUGGGCGUUAAGUUGCAGGGUAUAGACCCGAAACCCGGUGAUCUAGCCAUGGGCAGGUUGAAGGUUGGGUAACACUAACUGGAGGACCGAACCGACUAAUGUUGAAAAAUUAGCGGAUGACUUGUGGCUGGGGGUGAAAGGCCAAUCAAACCGGGAGAUAGCUGGUUCUCCCCGAAAGCUAUUUAGGUAGCGCCUCGUGAAUUCAUCUCCGGGGGUAGAGCACUGUUUCGGCAAGGGGGUCAUCCCGACUUACCAACCCGAUGCAAACUGCGAAUACCGGAGAAUGUUAUCACGGGAGACACACGGCGGGUGCUAACGUCCGUCGUGAAGAGGGAAACAACCCAGACCGCCAGCUAAGGUCCCAAAGUCAUGGUUAAGUGGGAAACGAUGUGGGAAGGCCCAGACAGCCAGGAUGUUGGCUUAGAAGCAGCCAUCAUUUAAAGAAAGCGUAAUAGCUCACUGGUCGAGUCGGCCUGCGCGGAAGAUGUAACGGGGCUAAACCAUGCACCGAAGCUGCGGCAGCGACACUAUGUGUUGUUGGGUAGGGGAGCGUUCUGUAAGCCUGCGAAGGUGUACUGUGAGGUAUGCUGGAGGUAUCAGAAGUGCGAAUGCUGACAUAAGUAACGAUAAAGCGGGUGAAAAGCCCGCUCGCCGGAAGACCAAGGGUUCCUGUCCAACGUUAAUCGGGGCAGGGUGAGUCGACCCCUAAGGCGAGGCCGAAAGGCGUAGUCGAUGGGAAACAGGUUAAUAUUCCUGUACUUGGUGUUACUGCGAAGGGGGGACGGAGAAGGCUAUGUUGGCCGGGCGACGGUUGUCCCGGUUUAAGCGUGUAGGCUGAUUUUCCAGGCAAAUCCGGAAAAUCAAGGCUGAGGCGUGAUGACGAGGCACUACGGUGCUGAAGCAACAAAUGCCCUGCUUCCAGGAAAAGCCUCUAAGCAUCAGGUAACAUCAAAUCGUACCCCAAACCGACACAGGUGGUCAGGUAGAGAAUACCAAGGCGCUUGAGAGAACUCGGGUGAAGGAACUAGGCAAAAUGGUGCCGUAACUUCGGGAGAAGGCACGCUGAUAUGUAGGUGAAGUCCCUUGCGGAUGGAGCUGAAAUCAGUCGAAGAUACCAGCUGGCUGCAACUGUUUAUUAAAAACACAGCACUGUGCAAACACGAAAGUGGACGUAUACGGUGUGACGCCUGCCCGGUGCCGGAAGGUUAAUUGAUGGGGUUAGCGGUAACGCGAAGCUCUUGAUCGAAGCCCCGGUAAACGGCGGCCGUAACUAUAACGGUCCUAAGGUAGCGAAAUUCCUUGUCGGGUAAGUUCCGACCUGCACGAAUGGCGUAAUGAUGGCCAGGCUGUCUCCACCCGAGACUCAGUGAAAUUGAACUCGCUGUGAAGAUGCAGUGUACCCGCGGCAAGACGGAAAGACCCCGUGAACCUUUACUAUAGCUUGACACUGAACAUUGAGCCUUGAUGUGUAGGAUAGGUGGGAGGCUUUGAAGUGUGGACGCCAGUCUGCAUGGAGCCGGCCUUGAAAUACCACCCUUUAAUGUUUGAUGUUCUAACGUUGGCCCCUGAUCGGGGUUGCGGACAGUGUCUGGUGGGUAGUUUGACUGGGGCGGUCUCCUCCUAAAGAGUAACGGAGGAGCACGAAGGUUGGCUAAUCCUGGUCGGACAUCAGGAGGUUAGUGCAAUGGCAUAAGCCAGCUUGACUGCGAGCGUGACGGCGCGAGCAGGUGCGAAAGCAGGUCAUAGUGAUCCGGUGGUUCUGAAUGGAAGGGCCAUCGCUCAACGGAUAAAAGGUACUCCGGGGAUAACAGGCUGAUACCGCCCAAGAGUUCAUAUCGACGGCGGUGUUUGGCACCUCGAUGUCGGCUCAUCACAUCCUGGGGCUGAAGUAGGUCCCAAGGGUAUGGCUGUUCGCCAUUUAAAGUGGUACGCGAGCUGGGUUUAGAACGUCGUGAGACAGUUCGGUCCCUAUCUGCCGUGGGCGCUGGAGAACUGAGGGGGGCUGCUCCUAGUACGAGAGGACCGGAGUGGACGCAUCACUGGUGUUCGGGUUGUCAUGCCAAUGGCACUGCCCGGUAGCUAAAUGCGGAAGAGAUAAGUGCUGAAAGCAUCUAAGCACGAAACUUGCCCCGAGAUGAGUUCUCCCUGACUCUUUAAGGGUCCUGAAGGAACGUUGAAGACGACGACGUUAAUAGGCCGGGUGUGUAAGCGCAGCGAUGCGUUGAGCUAACCGGUACUAAUGAACCGUGAGGCUUAACCUUACAACGCCGAAG
rnacentral:rRNA from 1 species